ensembl:lncRNA
CACUCGUACUAUAGACUCAUACUACGCAACACCUACACCGUGGAGCCCUCGUACCAUGGACAGUGACCUGGAGGCCAUGAUGAGGCAGAUGGAGAGGCUUCUGGACGGAGAGGCUGGAGGUGGAUCAGAGUCUGAGUUGGGGGCUCCAUCCUUCUCCCCAGGGCCCCCAGAGCCCCCAGACCCCCCAGAACCCCGGGGCCCGGCCAGGGUCCACAACAGCUUGGUGGAGAACAACAUCCAGCGCAUGAGAGAGGUGCUGUGUGGUCGUCUGGGGGAGGAGGCCUUCCAGCGGCUUUAUGAGGACCUGAAGGAGGCCAGGAUGAGGCGGGAGGGGGACAGCAGGGUCCUGGACUCUCUAGACCCGAGAGACGGGUUCCUACUGGACCAGAUCCUGUACCAUGAAGACCAGGUCCUCUCCCACCAAGACCAGCAAGACCAGAUACCACAGAGCAGCCAACAGGAAGAGGGUGAGCCAGCAGACAGAACAGGGCGGGGCCACCAGAAAUUGUAGGUUUAAAGGAAAUAAUGGGAAAAUCCCUGGGCAGUGUAAACCCUCAAACGCUAUUGGCUGGCAGGAAAGUGUGACCUCAUCGAAGACUCUGCAGACCUGGAACAUUCAUUAACCAAAGAGAGCUCAUUUUAUACAGUCAUGUGUCAUAUAUAUCAUGUAGCUAUUUUGAACGACCACUUAUACAUUUAAAACAUCUUUUAAAAUCACAUUUAAAUAAACAAACUUUUUU